AUACUUUUAGCUAUCAAUGAGAUACCAGGGUCCUACCUCUUUUGCUUGCUUGCCAGGGUGCUGCUGCUGCUGCUGCUGCUGCUGUUGCUGCUGCUGCUGCUGUUGCUGCUGCUGCUGUUGCUGUUGCUGCUGCUGCUGCUGCUGCUGUUGCUGCUGCUGCUGUUGCUGCUGCUGCAAAAGCUGAA
rnacentral:sRNA from 1 species